GUGAACUCUUCAGUCUGUUCUGACGGAGCCGAAGUACAGAAACCAUAUUUACAGGUACAUGUGACAGUGCUGCAGCGAUGAGCGGAAUUUUAAAAGGGAAGUUGGAAGAAAUUGACGGCUCCUCACCCUGCUCCUCUGUGCAAGAAUCCGAUGAUGAAGUUUUUAGCUCUGACUUUGCUGCCAGUAUUGAUAGGGUCAGUCUGUCCACUUCUAAUCAUUUCACUGGAAAAAAUAAGGAGAUAUCAACAGACUGAAAAGAUGUUUUCAGAGGCCUAGAGUCUUCAGGAAGAUACUGGAGUUCAUGAGAU